AAGUCGUAACAAGGUUUCCGUAGGUGAACCUGCGGAAGGAUCAUUAAUGAAAAUGCUUGAGGAUGUUUGCUGGCUUUACAAGGCAUGUGCACUCCUCGAACCAUUUUGACCCUUACCCACCUGUGCACCCAUUGUAGGCUGCGAAGCCUAUGUUUUACUUUUUUAAACACCACGAUCAUUGAAUGUAAAGAAAAUAAAAAAUAAUAACACAACUUUCAACAAUGGAUCUCUUGGCUCUC
rnacentral:misc_RNA from 1 species